GCGAAAACUUUACAAUGCUGGCAACAGCGAUAAGGGAACCUCGAGUGCCAGGUUACAAAUCUGGCUGUCGAGAUGCCUAAAAAGCAUUUCAUAGCAAGGGCCGGGCAAGACCGGUGCCAGCCGCCGCGGUAACACCGGCGGCUCGAGUGGUAACCGUUCUUCUUGGGUCUAAAGGGUCUGUAGCCGGCCGGAUAAGUCUCUUGAGAAAUCUGGCAGCUUAAACGUCAGGCUUUCAGGAGAUACUGUCGGGCUCGAGGCCGGGAGAGGUGAGAGGUACUUCAGGGGUAGGGGUGAAAUCUUGUAAUCCUUGAAGGACCACCAGUGGCGAAGGCGUCUCACCAGAACGGACCUGACGGCAAGGGACGAAAGCUAGGGGCACGAACC
rnacentral:rRNA from 1 species